rnacentral:rRNA from 1 species
GGCGAGCCGCCGCGGGAACACCGGCAGCUCGUAGUGGUAGCAACUUUAUUGGGCCUAAAGCGUCCGUAGCCGGUUUAAUAAGUCUCUGGUGAAAUCCUGUAGCUUAACGUGUGGGAAUUGCUGGAGAUACUAUUAGACUUGAGACCGGGAGAGGUUGGAGGGUACUCCCAGGGUAGAGGUGAAAUUCUGUAAUCCUGGGAGGACCGCCUGUUGCGAAGGCGUCUAACUGGAACGGUUCUGACGGUGAGGGACGAAAGUUAGGGGCGCGAACCGGAUUAGAUACCCGGGUAGUCCUAACUGUAAACGAUGCGGACUUGGUGUUGGGGUGGCUUUGAGCUGCUCCAGUGCCGAAGGGAAGCUGUUAAGUCCGCCGCCUGGGAAGUACGGUCGCAAGACUGAAACUUAAGGAAUUGGCGGGGGAGCACCACAACGCGUGGAGCCUGCCGGUUUAAUUGGAUUCAACGCCGGACAUCUCACCAGAGGCGACAGCUGUAUGAUAGCCAGGUUGAUGACUUUGCUUGACUAGCUGAGAAGUGGUGCAUGG